AGUGGACCGAGUCUACACACCAAAACAGUGUCAAAUACUUUUUGGAAGUCUAAGAAUCACAUGAAGAAACUCGUCCUGUAUAAAAGUAGGCUACCUGAAGUGGGCGGUGUCUGAUGUCGGAUUUAAACAGAGAAAGUGAAACCGUCCAUCACUGUGUGCAUCAGAACAGUUUCUUCUAACGUUACAUCCUGAGGUAAUUUAGUUAAAGUUUGAGCGCAUUCAGCUUGAGUUUACAGAUCUACUUUACUGAUAUGAGACAAGGAGUGGAGAGAAUAAGAGUUUGUGUGGCGAAUUCAGAAGAGGAGUUCAGGAACACCACAGUGGAGGAGUUAAAGAGAAAACUCAUUCCUGGAGACCAGCGCACAUAUACAGUGAUAAGCAUGCAGGCAACUGUCUUCUCAUGGGAGAACCUGGACAAACACAUAUACCUUUGAAGAUGAUGACGAUGAAGACAAAGAUGAAGAUAAAGAAUUGCCCAGGACUCAAUCUAUGGAACAUUUAGCUGGAAUGCAAAAUAUUGACCUGUGUUGUGUAUUGCAGUAGGCUACAGCUUCACAAUAUCCACAGAUAUAUACUGUAAACAGUUAAAGUGCCACAUCUUUAAGAUUCACUACUG